GCUACAGGCUUAACACAUGCAAGUCGAGGGGAAACGACAUCGAAAGCUUGCUUUUGAUGGGCGUCGACCGGCGCACGGGUGAGUAACGCGUAUCCAACCUGCCCAUCACUUGGGGAUAACCUUGCGAAAGUAAGACUAAUACCCAAUGACGUCUCUAGAAGACAUCUGAAAGGGAUUAAAGAUUUAUCGGUGAUGGAUGGGGAUGCGUCUGAUUAGCUUGUUGGCGGGGUAACGGCCCACCAAGGCGACGAUCAGUAGGGGUUCUGAGAGGAAGGUCCCCCACAUUGGAACUGAGACACGGUCCAAACUCCUACGGGAGGCAGCAGUGAGGAAUAUUGGUCAAUGGGCGAGAGCCUGAACCAGCCAAGUAGCGUGCAGGAUGACGGCCCUAUGGGUUGUAAACUGCUUUUAUAAGGGAAUAAAGUGAGUCUCGUGAGACUUUUUGCAUGUACCUUAUGAAUAAGGACCGGCUAAUUCCGUGCCAGCAGCCGCGGUAAUACGGAAGGUCCGGGCGUUAUCCGGAUUUAUUGGGUUUAAAGGGAGCGUAGGCCGGAGAUUAAGCGUGUUGUGAAAUGUAGACGCUCAACGUCUGCACUGCAGCGCGAACUGGUUUCCUUGAGUACGCACAAAGUGGGCGGAAUUCGUGGUGUAGCGGUGAAAUGCUUAGAUAUCACGAAGAACUCCGAUUGCGAAGGCAGCUCACUGGAGCGCAACUGACGCUGAAGCUCGAAAGUGCGGGUAUCGAACAGGAUUAGAUACCCUGGUAGUCCGCACGGUAAACGAUGGAUGCCCGCUGUUGGUCUGAAUAGGUCAGCGGCCAAGCGAAAGCAUUAAGCAUCCCACCUGGGGAGUACGCCGGCAACGGUGAAACUCAAAGGAAUUGACGGGGGCCCGCACAAGCGGAGGAACAUGUGGUUUAAUUCGAUGAUACGCGAGGAACCUUACCCGGGCUUGAAUUGCAGAGGAAGGAUUUGGAGACAAUGACGCCCUUUGGGGCCUCUGUGAAGGUGCUGCAUGGUUGUCGUCAGCUCGUGCCGUGAGGUGUCGGCUUAAGUGCCAUAACGAGCGCAACCCCUCUCCUUAGUUGCCAUCAGGUCAAGCUGGGCACUCUGGGGACACUGCCACCGUAAGGUGUGAGGAGAGGUGGGGAUGA
rnacentral:rRNA from 1 species